ACUGCUCAGUAACACGUGGAUAACCUGCCCAAGGGUCCGGGAUAACCCCGGGAAACUGGGGAUAAUACCGGAUGGAUCACUAGUGCUGGAAUGCUUGGUGGUCGAAAGGUGACGCCCUUGGAUGGGUCUGCGGCGGAUUAGGUUGACGCCGGUGUAACGUACCGGCGUGCCUGUAAUCCGUACGGGCUGUGGGAGCAAGAGCCCGGAGAUGGAUUCUGAGACACGAAUCCAGGCCCUACGGGGCGCAGCAGGCGCGAAAACUCUACAAUGCAGGCAACUGCGAUAGGGGGACAUCGAGUGGCAUCCACCUUGGGUGCCUGUCCAACCGUCUAAAAAACGGUUGUUAGCAAGGGCCGGGUAAGACCGGUGCCAGCCGCCGCGGUAAUACCGGCGGCUCGAGUGGUGGCCGAUAUUAUUGAGUCUAAAGGGUCCGUAGCCGGCUUUGCAAGUCCCCUGGGAAAUCCAGCGGCUUAACCGUUGGGCUUUCAUGGGAUACUACAUUGCUUGGGACUGGGAGAGGUAGGAGGUACUCGGGGGGUAGGGGUGAAAUCCUGUAAUCCUCCGGGGACCACCGGUGGCGAAGGCGUCCUACCAGAACAGGUCCGACGGUGAGGGACGAAAGCUAGGGGCACGAACCGGAUUAGAUACCCGGGUAGUCCUAGCCGUAAACGAUGCCCGCUAGGUGUCACGACGGUCGUGAAUCGUCGUGGUGCCGUAGGGAAGCCGCGAAGCGGGCCACUUGGGAAGUACGACCGCAAGGUUGAAACUUAAAGGAAUUGGCGGGGGAGCAC
rnacentral:rRNA from 1 species